rnacentral:tRNA from 1 species
GCCUCGUUGGCGUAGUGGUAGCGCGUCGCACUUGUAAUGCGAAGGUCACUCGUUCAAUCCGGGUACGAGGCA